AGCAGCCGCGGUAAUUCCAGCUCCAAUAGCGUAUAUUAAAGUUGUUGCAGUUAAAAAGCUCGUAGUUGAACUUCAGGCCUGGCUGGACGGUCCGCCUUCCGGGCGAGCACUGUCCGUGGUCGGGUCCUACCUUCUGGCGAAGCGUUAUGGCCUUAACCGGCCGUGGCGGGGAACCAGGACUUUUACUGUGAAAAAAUUAGAGUGUUCAAAGCAGGCAAUUCGCUUGGAUACAUUAGCAUGGAAUAAUGGAGUAGGACAAUGGUUCUAUUUGUUGGUUUCUAGGACUGUUGUAAUGAUUAAUAGGGAUAGUUGGGGGCAUUAGUAUUCAAUUGUCAGAGGUGAAAUUCUUGGAUUUAUUGAAGACUAACUACUGCGAAAGCAUUUGCCAAGGAUGUUUUCAUUAAUCAGGAACGAAAGUUAGGGGAUCGAAGACGAUCAGAUACCGUCGUAGUCUUAACCAUAAACUAUGCCGACUAGGAAUCGGGCGAUGUUGACAAAAUGACGCGCUCGGCA
rnacentral:rRNA from 1 species